AGGGUGAAGUUCUUGCCUAGGGGAACCUGGUUUCUUCAGGAACCACCCCAAAGCGAGGGGAAGGUGAGGACAAGUCCCUGCAGGUGGCUGACUGCAGAGCGGUGCGGCAGGCUGUGCUACCCAUGCUGUCUCUUGACAAGGUCUGGGCAUUGGGGGAGACUCCCAAGAAGAGGGGAGUUCCUGCACUUCCCAGAAGACCUGAACUAGGGAGUCUCCAUGGCAACGCCUGCUAAUGCUCUCCUGUCUGUUCUUGGUUAAUGCAGAAGGUGGUCCCCAGGAAAAGGGGAGGUUCCCUGCCCCACCCAAGGGAGGGUAGAGCUGAGCAGGGAGAGGAGAAGCUGCAGAAGAGACUGAGGAAGGAAGCAGGAUGGAGCCAGAAGGAGCCUGGAGGAGGCACACGGAGCCUAGAGACACGUGAAGAAACUGCACUUGUCUUUUGGUCGUGGACGGGGUGACACAGAUGUGGGUGAGACCCGUGGGGAGGUGACCAUGGCAGCUUUUAACUUGAUGUUUAUUUUGCUCUUUUCCUUCUGGGCUUGACUGGUUGUUUCUGACCCUUUUCUGUGGGUCCCCACUGGAAGAUGCUUUAGACUAUGGCAGGCUUUGGGGCCUUGUUGUGGGCCGAUCCCAUAUGGAUGGACUUUUACCCCCGAGGGGAUGGGUCACUUUGGGUGCUUCAUUUAGAAAGUAGACUCUUUGCCUUACAUGCGUUGUUUCCUAGUUUUAUUAAAGUUCCUUCCCAUUAAAGUCUCAUAUGUUUUGUGUUGAUGCCCUGUAGCACUUUGUUCUAGUGCGAAGGUGGCGUCAGCAUCUUGAAGCAGACGGAUGGAGAGACGGAAUGAAGUGUUGGCGGGGGUGAGGUGAACUAUGUGCUGUAAUUCAUCCCUGAGGAGAGGACACCUGCUCCACCCUUCUGCAGAGAACUGGUUCCAGAGACCUCCAAAGAUGGUGAGGAAGCUGCCUCCAUUGGCAGGACUGGACGACCGGGAAAAAGCAAAAGACCUGGUAAACCUUGAGACGAGGACACACCAGGUGGACUUGGAGAGACCAACUUCGUUCCUGCGCAGACCAGAUGUCAGGAGUUCACUGUGAUCCUAUGUGGGGUAUUCCAGCACAGCCCGCUAAAACUGCUGUUGGUUAUGUUGUCCUAUGUUUUAUGCAAAAAUAGGUUAAAUGGUUUAAAAGUAGAUUUAGGUUUUUUUUUUUGUUUGUUCUUCCUAAACAGCCAUCUGUAUUUCUCCAUCAUAACUUCUUUUAAGUUUGUGGCCUUUCCUGACUCAUCUUUCAAUGUUUUCCAGAGAACUUGCCCACGUGGAAGAAAAUGCACACCACAUAAUGAGUUUUUAUUUCCCAUGAAUCCCUAAUCAGGUUCCUUUGUUCACAACCAAGUAGUUAAAAAAAAAGUAGAUUUAGUUUGCAAAUUUUUACUAUAUUGUUGGAUAAAGUUGGGAUCAAGGUGGACUAGAACUUUAAGAUCAGUUAAUCAGUUUUUAAGAUUUUUUUUUCUUCUUGUGAUUUUGAUAUUUUUGCUGUUUUGUUUUGGCUAGUGCCUCCCGAUGAUUUUCUUUUGGCGUGGACUUAAUUCUCUUACAGGAAUAGAGGACUUUUGUUUGCCACACUUGACGAAACCUGGAGACUGUUUUUUGUUCUAAACUGGAACCCUGAGAAAUUAUCAUCUGAGCCGGAAACCCAGCAUAUACACAUCUUACCUUCAGCAACAUAGUAAUGGGGGCAAACAAUGAAAGGGGGGAAUUAAUUGGGGAGAAAGGACGCCCUGAAUAAACUCCACUACACAGGUUUAUGUGGACUCCUACCCCCCCCAUUCCAGACUAAACACCGGGAACUACAAAUCCCAUCAUGCCAUCUUCAUGGAAGGAAGGAUUGGAGGGGACUGAGGGUGGAGUUAAACAGUCAGGCCUGGUAUAUAACCUGAUAGGUGGACCGUGGGGGUUCUCUUGGCAUUUUGCCAGCUCUCUGUAUGCCAUGUGGGCCCCGUGUGCCAUGAGGGAUUCCAACUCAGUGGAGCUAGUAGAAUGCAUUCACCAAUUUAUCUCCCUCUCCUUGAGUUCUUCACUCCCCCUUCUUUUGUAAAUAAACCAUUUAUGAACCUUUCUGUGUGUGUCUGUCUGCAGU